rnacentral:rRNA from 1 species
GAUGAACGCUGGCGGCGUGCCUAACACAUGCAAGUCGAGCGGCAGCGAGGGGUGCUUGCACCCUGUCGGCGAGCGGCGGACGGCUGAGUAACGCGUGGGAACGUGCCCCAAAGUGAGGAAUAACUGCCCGAAAGGGUAGCUAAUACCGCAUAUUUUUCUCGGAUCAAAGGAUUUAUCCGCUUUGGGAGCGGCUCGCGUCGGUUUAGGUAGUUGGUGAGGUAAUUGCUCACCAAGCCGACGAUCCGUAGCUGGUCUGAGAGGAUGACCAGCCAGACUGGAACUGAGACACGGUCCAGACUCCUACGGGAGGCAGCAGUGAGGAAUCUUGCACAAUGGGCGAAAGCCUGAUGGAGCAACGCCGCGUGCAGGACGAAGGCCUUCGGGUUGUAAACUGCUUUUAUAAGUGAGGAAUAUGACGGUAACUUAUGAAUAAGGAUCGGCUAACUACGUG